CAGCUAACGCGUGAAGUUGACCGCCUGGGGAGUACGGCCGCAAGGCUAAAACUCAAAUGAAUUGACGGGGGCCCGCACAAGCGGUGGAGCAUGUGGUUUAAUUCGAUGCAACGCGAAGAACCUUACCUACCCUUGACAUUGACAGAAUUCUUUAGAGAUAGAGAAGUGUCUUCGGGCCUGGAAAACAGGUGCUGCAUGGCUGUCGUCAGCUCGUGUCGUGAGAUGAUGGGUUAAGUCCCGCAACGAGCGCAACCCUUAUCCUUAGUUGCCAGCACGUAAUGGUGGGAACUCUAAGGAGACUGCCGGUGAUAAACCGGAGGAAGGUGGGGAUGACGUCAAGUCAUCAUGGCCCUUAUGGGUAGGGCUACACACGUGCUACAAUGGCCGGUACAGAGGGCAGCGAACUCGCGAGAGUAAGCCAAUCCCAGAAAGCCGGUCGUAGUCCGGAUUGGAGUCUGCAACUCGACUCCAUGAAGUUGGAAUCGCUAGUAAUCGUGGAUCAGAAUGCCACGGUGAAUACGUUCCCGGGCCUUGUACACACCGCCCGUCACACCAUGGGAGUGGGCUGCAAAAGAAGUAGGUAG
rnacentral:rRNA from 1 species